GCUAGAGUCCGGUAGGGGAGCGUGGAAUUCCUGGUGUAGCGGUGAAAUGCGCAGAUAUCAUGAGGAACACCAGCGGCGAAGGCGGCGCUCUGGGCCGGAACUGACGCUGAGGAGCGAAAGCGUGGGUAUCAAACAGGAUUAGAUACCCUGGUAGUCCACGCCGUAAACGUUGGGCACUAGGUGUGGGGUCUUUUCAACGGAUUCCGUGCCGUCGCUAACGCAUUAAGUGCCCCGCCUGGGGAGUACGGCCGCAAGGCUAAAACUCAAAGGAAUUGACGGGGGCCCGCACAAGCAGCGGAGCAUGUUGCUUAAUUCGAGGCAACGCGAAGAACCUUACCUGGGUUUGACAUGUAGAGAAAAGCCACAGAGAUGUGGUGUCCUUCGGGGUUCUACACAGGUGGUGCAUGGUUGUCGUCAGCUCGUGUCGUGAGAUGUUGGGUUAAGUCCCGCAACGAGCGCAACCCUUGUCCUAUGUUGCCAGCGGAUAAUGCCGGGGACUCGUAGGAGACUGCCGGGGUCAACUCGGAGGAAGGUGGGGAUGACGUCAAAUCAUCAUGCCCCU
rnacentral:rRNA from 1 species